rnacentral:rRNA from 1 species
UCAGGAUGAACGCUGGCGGCGUGCUUAACACAUGCAAGUCGAACGAAGCAUUGGAAGCGGAGGUUUCGGAUCGAAGGUUCCUUGACUUAGUGGCGGACGGGUGAGUAACGCGUGGGCAACCUGCCCUUAACCGGGGGACAACAGUUGGAAACGGCUGCUAAUACCGCAUAAGCGCACGGUACCGCAUGGUAGUGUGUGAAAAAAUUCCGGUGGUUAAGGAUGGGCCCGCGUUGGAUUAGGUAGUUGGUGAGGUAACGGCCCACCAAGCCGACGAUCCAUAGCCGACCUGAGAGGGUGACCGGCCACAUUGGGACUGAGACACGGCCCAGACUCCUACGGGAGGCAGCAGUGGGGAAUAUCGCACAAUGGGGGAAACCCUGAUGCAGCGAACCGCCGCGUGAGUGAAGAAGUAUUUCGGUAUGUAAAGCUCUAUCAGCAGGGAAGAAAAUGACGGUACCUGCACAAGAAGCCCCGGCUAACUACGUGCCAGCAGCAGC